UUAAGUGCUCAUUAAAAACAUAUAAUGAUGACUAGAUUUCGCUCCGUGCAGUAGAGUUCAGCUGAUCUAGUGGAUUUAGCCGUAACGUUACCGUUUAUAUGAAGCUACAUUAUUCUGUUCAGACUACACGUUGGUUUCGGUUUCCUGUUCCAGAUAAAUGUGCGUGACAGCACGGGAAAGAACAGAAUAAAUUUAUAUGAUG
rnacentral:lncRNA from 1 species